rnacentral:rRNA from 1 species
GAUGAACGCUAGCUACAGGCUUAACACAUGCAAGUCGAGGGGAAACGAUGAGAGAGCUUGCUCUCUUAGGCGUCGACCGGCGCACGGGUGAGUAACGCGUAUCCAACCUACCCAUUACAGGGGGAUAACCUCGCGAAAGUAAGACUAAUACCCCAUGGCAUUUUAUGGUGGCAUCAUUAUAGGAUUAAAGAUUUAUUGGUAAUGGAUGGGGAUGCGUCUGAUUAGCUUGUUGGCGGGGUAACGGCCCACCAAGGCAACGAUCAGUAGGGGUUCUGAGAGGAAGGUCCCCCACAUUGGAACUGAGACACGGUCCAAACUCCUACGGGAGGCAGCAGUGAGGAAUAUUGGUCAAUGGGCGAGAGCUUGAACCAGCCAAGUAGCGUGCAGGAUGACGGCCCUAUGGGUUGUAAACUGCUUUUAUAGGGGAAUAAAGUGAGAUACGUGUAGUUUAUUGAAUGUACCCUAUGAAUAAGGACCGGCUAAUUCCGUG